rnacentral:rRNA from 1 species
UACGGGGGGGGUAAGCGUUGUUCGGAAUUACUGGGCGUAAAGGGCUCGUAGGCGGCCAACUAAGUCAGACGUGAAAUCCCUCAGCUUAACUGGGGAACUGCGUCUGAUACUGGAUGGCUUGGAUUUGGGAGAGGAAUGCGGAAUUCCAGGUGUAGCGGUGAAAUGCGUAGAUAUCUGGAGGAACACCGGUGGCGAAGGCGGCAUUCUGGACUAAUAUUGACGCUGAGGAGCGAAAGCCAGGGGAGCAAACGGG